CGUAGGGUGCGAGCGUUAAUCGGAAUUACUGGGCGUAAAGCGUGCGCGAGGCGGUUUUGUAAGACAGAUGUGAAAUCCCCGGGCUCAACCUGGGACCUGCAUUUGUGACUGCAAGGCUAGAGUACGGUAGAGGGGGAUGGAAUUCCGCGUGUAGCAGUGAAAUGCGUAGAUAUGCGGAGGAACACCGAUGGCGAAGGCAAUCCCCUGGACCUGUACUGACGCUCAUGCACGAAAGCGUGGGGAGCAAACAGGAUUAGAUACCCUGGUAGUCCACGCCCUAAACGAUGUCAACUGGUUGUUGGGUCUUUACUGACUCAGUAACGAAGCUAACGCGUGAAGUUGACCGCCUGGGGAGUACGGCCGCAAGGUUG
rnacentral:rRNA from 1 species